rnacentral:tRNA from 1 species
GGAGGGGUGGCAGAGCGGUCGAAUGCACCGGUCUUGAAAACCGGAGGGCUCCGUCGAGGGGUCCCGUGGGUUCGAAUCCCACCCCCUCCG